rnacentral:rRNA from 1 species
CCUACGGGUGGCAGCAGUGAGGAAUAUUGGUCAAUGGGCGCGAGCCUGAACCAGCCAAGUAGCGUGAAGGAUGACUGCCCUACGGGUUGUAAACUUCUUUUAUAAAGGAAUAAAGCGAGGCACGUGUGCCUUUUUGUAUGUAUUUUAUGAAUAAGGAUCGGCUAACUCCGUGCCAGCAGCCGCGGUAAUACGGAGGAUCCGAGCGUUAUCCGGAUUUAUUGGGUUUAAAGGGAGCGUAGAUGGGUUGUUAAGUCAGUUGUGAAAGUUUGCGGCUCAACCGUAAAAUUGCAAUUGAUACUGGCAGUCUUGAGUACAGUUGAGGUAGGCGGAAUUCGUGGUGUAGCGGUGAAAUGCUUAGAUAUCACGAAGAACCCCGAUUGCGAAGGCAGCCUACUAAACUGUCACUGACAUUGAUGCUCGAAAGUGUGGGUAUCAAACAGGAUUAGAUACCCUUGUAGUC